UUUUUUUAAUGCCACUAUAGUAAAAAUAAACAAUAGUGUCAGAACUGAACAGUUAUAGGAAACAAGAAUGAUAGGCCAAAAAGUGAAAAAAUGAAAGAAAAAAAAAAAGAACUGAACAAUCAACACCCCCUCCCCCCACUUGAUCUUCCCAUCCCAGCCAAGCCAGUCCUCUUCCCUCCAGGGAAAGAAUACAGGUAUUUCUGGCUCAUCUCCUCUUGGGCCAGACUAUUACCAUCCUAAUGAACACUAUACUCCAAAAGCAAAUAAACUGCAAUCAAAAGUGAGAUUACCAGACAGCAGAUUUCUAAACAGAAUUGGAAGAACAGUGAAUCAAUGCAAAGGUGCAGUGCUAACAGUAAGAAAAAUCCUGCCCAAAUCCCCCAGCAUUGCAGCAAAAUCCCCCUUGACAGUCUGCAGAGCCUGAUCAAUGCCCCUUAUUCAACAGAGUAUAUUCGUGACAAAAUUCCAAUCCAGCAAAGGAACUGUAGUAGUUCUGGAGUUCAUAAUGGGCUCUGAACUAUUGUAAAUGGGAGUGAGGAUAUAAUCUACUCUUACAUAGAAAAAACAACCUGGCCAGGUGCGGUUUGUUAACAUUGCUUCCAUGGAGGCUCUACACUCAGCCUCAUUUCAUUUCAACAAAGGGCAGGACCUGUUCCAAGGCUGGCUUGGGGAGGAGGAGCGGGGCUGAAUGAUGCUGAUUGUAGGGGUGAUUGAGCUGAAAAGCAAGUCUCCUAUCACGAAGCUCAUGGGCUGGGCAUGGUGGCUCACGCCUGUAAUUCUAGCACUUUGGGAGGCCGAGUCAGGCAGAUCGCUUGAGCACAGGAGUUUGAGAACAGCCUGGCCAACAUGGCAAAACCCUUCUCUACUAAAAAUAUGAAAAUUAGUUGGGUGUGGUGGCAGGUGCCUGUAAUCCCAGCUACUUAGGUGGCUGAGGCACAGGAAUCGCUUGAACCCCGGAGGUGGGGGUUGCAGUGAGCCAAGAUGGUGCCACUGGACUCCAGUCUGGGCAAGAGAGCAAGACUCUGUCUCAAAAACAAGACAAAACAAAACACACACACACACACACACACACACACACGCACAAAAGAAAGAAAGAAACUCAGGGGCUAGUGGGAAAGAGAAUCCUGGGAACAAAUAAUUACGAUUUGAUAAUAAGUAGCUCACUGGUUAGUUAAGCAUGCUCUGUGUGAAGUGAUCUACCCCAAUAACCUUGUGAGCUGAGAAUUAUAACCCUGUUACAAACGGGGAAACUAAGGUUCUCAGAUGUUAAGGAGUUUGCCCAAGGUCACACAGUUAAUAAGCAGAAAGGCCAGUAUUGAAACCCAAGCAGGGCUGGGUGUGGUGGCUCACACCUGUAAUCUUGAUGCUUUGGGAGGCCCGAGGCGGGAGAAUCACUUGAGUCAAAGAGUUUGAGACCAGCCUGGGCAAUACAGUGAGACAGCCCCCCCUCCCCCCACCCCGCUCUCUACAAAGCGAAAAAAGAAACCCCAGGC
rnacentral:lncRNA from 1 species